GGUCUCCAGUCUUCUUCGGAAAUCUAGGCCCCGCCCACCGCUGCCAAACACCGCAAACCAGAAUUAAAUCACAAAAUACAUUCAUGGUUUUGCUCCAACCACCAUCUUUAAAAAUUUAUUGAUUUUAUAUAUCAAAAGUAAAUAUUCAACGUGCAGAGUCCAAACCGUGUCCUUCGAGAAUUGAAAAAAAAUGGCGAUUGCGAUGACGUCACCUACACAGAUCCGCCAAUGGCGCCAUUUAAGAUGCGGAAUGUGUGAGCUUCGUACCUGGACAAAUGAGCGACGUUAAACAAGACAUGUCUGUGUUGUUGGGGUCCGAAAAACAGGCAGACACCGAGUAUGCACCCUCGUCUUCCUGGUCAAGUAUUUUGGACUUCCGUGGAGCCUUUGGAAGAUGCAAAUAAUGCUGCAAAGGCCCAGUACCAUGCCCCCAAGUGCAAGUAUCAGCCUGAGCCCGAAGGUCCAGUAUUCCUGCGGCCUGCGAAGUGUGCCUCUUGAUCUGCAGUAUUCCCGCGCCCAGCGAAGUCUAACUAAUAAACUGCAGGGUUCCCGCUACCAGCGAACCGGGCCUGUUGAACUGCAGUGGUUCCCGCGACCAGCGAACCGCUCCUGUUGAACUGCAGUGGUUACCGCGACCAGCGAGCCGGGCCUGUUGAACUGCAGUCGUUGCCGCGACCAGCGAACCGUGCCUGUUGAACUGCAGUGGUUCCUGCGACCAGCGAACCGUGCCUUGUUGAGCUGCAGUCUUAUGUGCAACCCAGCUAACUAUGCCUUGUUGAACUGCAGUCUUUGUGAAACCCAGCUAACUAUUGCUUGUUGAACUGCAGUCUUUGUGCAACCCAGCUAACUAUGCCUUGUUGAACUGCAGUC